rnacentral:rRNA from 1 species
UACGAAGGGGGCUAGCGUUGUUCGGAUUCAUUGGGCGUAAAGGGUGCGUAGGUGGCGCCGUAAGUCGGGUGUGAAAUUUCGGAGCUUAACUCCGAAACUGCAUUCGAUACUGCGGUGCUUGAGGACUGGAGAGGAGACUGGAAUUCAUGGUGUAGCAGUGAAAUGCGUAGAGAUCAUGAGGAAGACCAGUGGCGAAGGCGGGUCUCUGGACAGUUCCUGACACUGAGGCACGAAGGCCAGGGGAGCAAACGGG